rnacentral:rRNA from 1 species
GACGAACGCUGGCGGCGUGCCUAAUACAUGCAAGUCGAGCGAGUCUGCCUUGAAGAUCGGAGUGCUUGCACUCUGUGAAACAAGAUACAGGCUAGCGGCGGACGGGUGAGUAACACGUGGGUAACCUGCCCAAGAGAUCGGGAUAACACCUGGAAACAGAUGCUAAUACCGGAUAACAACAGAUGAUGCCUAUCAACUGUUUAAAGGAUGGUUCUGCUAUCACUCUUGGAUGGACCUGCGGUGCAUUAGCUAGUUGGUAGGGUAACGGCCUACCAAGGCGAUGAUGCAUGGCCGAGUUGAGGGACUGAUCGGCCACAUUGGGACUGAGACACGGCCCAAACUCCUACGGGAGGCAGCAGUAGGGAAUCUUCCACAAUGGACGCAAGUCUGAUGGAGCAACGCCGCGUGAGUGAAGAAGGGUUUCGGCUCGUAAAGCUCUGUUGUUGGUGAAGAAGGACAGGGGUAGUAACUGACCUUUGUUUGACGGUAAUCAAUUAGAAAGUCACGGCUAACUACGUG